UACUGAAUCCUUUAGUCAAAAAUAAAAUAAAAUAAACUAUGUAUUCUUACUAGUGAAUUAAAUAGAAUAGUUUAAUUUUAUAUUACAUAGCCUUUUUAUUUUCACUACAUAGUUAUUUUAUUAUGGUUUUGUCUUGAUUAGUGCCUCAUAAAUAUUAGUUUUGUUUGUAAGGACGACUACUAAUUCUAUUGUCUUAGAUGCAUUUAACUAAGUGUUAAUUGGAAAAACCAAAUGUUUUAGCCA
rnacentral:lncRNA from 1 species